rnacentral:tRNA from 1 species
UCCCUGGUGGCUCAGCUGGUAAAGAAUCCACCUGCAAUGUGGGAGACCUAGGUUCGAUCCCUGAUUUGGGAA